GCAAACAAAUCUGCAUGGCAGCGCCAACGGAUCAGGAAGGAGAUGGUGUCAGACCCUCGCAGCAAUGUGGUAGCCUCCGAACAGCCACGAAGGCAGCUUUGAAAAUGUUGAGGACUAUGACCUUCUGUUAUGACGCUAGUCUUAAGAGGCAAAUGACCUGUGUUACCACAGAUCCCUAUAUGGUGUGGUUUCCAGGAAUGCAUUGUGGACAUAAACAAGGACAGCCUGUACCGUUCCAGGAAAUGGAAGUGAAACAGACCAGCAUUUGAGUGACACUGAAAUGGAUCCCGCAAACACACUGGAUCAGGGUUGUAUAAUUUAAUACAAUUAUUUGUAAACUGGAGGCCGAGACUUAUUAUAUAAAAAUGGCAUAUAGUGGAUAUGAAAGAGAAAGAAGUGUGAGUUGGAGUGAAUCUGGUCAGCGGAACUGUAUCUUUGUUGCACAAAAGGUAUGAAUAUAAUUUCUUUUUCUUGGCUGGCCUAGGGUGGCUGCAAGAUGAGUGGCUCUGAUAGCCAAGCAGAUGACAAAAAAUAUAUUUUUCAAAAAUCUUCCAAUAAUACUAUAGGGCUCUGGUAACAUAAUUUUAAUAGUCUACAUGACUCUAGAAAUAGAAAUACCAUCGCUUCUCAAAAGGAAAAACUAAAAUGAAAAUUCUAGUUCUUGUGAGAAAGUGCUAGAAGUGAUCACUUAAAAACAAACAAACAAACAAACAAACAAACAAACAAACAAAAAAGGGGCUCCUGGCUGGCUCAGGCAAUACAGCAUGUAGGACUCUUGAUCUUGGGUCAUGAGUUCGAGUCCCAUGUUGGGCAUAGAGAUUACUUUACAACAUUUAAAAAAUCAAACAAAAAACAGAAGUAUGUUGCUAUUUUUUUUAAUUAAUAUUGCUCCCUGAACACAAAAAUAAGAUAGUAUUGCAAAAAUGACUAUAAAACUGUGAGGCCAUUAGGGGUAGCUGAACUGAAAUAUCAGAACACUUUUGUUUCUUUAAAACAAAACUUGGGGGAAAAAAAAACUAAACUAGAAUGUUGGAGUAAAAUUUUUUUUCAAGUUAUGACAUAUUUUAAAUAUAUAAUGAAUACCCAUAUACUUGCUACUUAGCUUGAUCGAAUCUCAACAUUUUCUCUAUCUGUUUUGGAUUUAUUGUUUUGUAAAAGAAAUGGAACAGUUUAAGUUUCCUGUAUCUUUCCUUCCACCCUCUCCAGAAAUAACAUGUUAAUGAACUUGAUAUUUAUUUCCAGGAAUUUCUUUAUAAUUUGAUAAACAAAUAAAUACCCAUAAGCAACUUGCUUAUCAUGUUUAUAAACUCUAUAUAAAUUGUAAGAUAAUGUAACAUGAGAAAAACCAUACUUACUUAUUCAUUCAACUAUUUUAGAAUAUUUAAGUUCUUUCCGAAUCUUUGCUGUUACAAAAGAUGUUGCUUCUAUAAUAUAUCCAGAAGUGGAACUGCUGGCUUGUAGAAUAUGAACACUUUGAAUCUUACUUAAUAUUGACAAAUUGCCCUAUAGAAUGAUGACAAGUUACAGUCUACCAGGAGUUCCAGUUUCUACCCAUUAGCACAAAACUCAGUUAAGAGAUUUUUAAAUUUUCAUCAGUGUGGUUUUAAGUUGCAUUUUUAAAAUAAUAGUUAACUUAAAUAUCUUUUCCUAUGUUUAUUGGCCAUUUAGCUUUCCUGUGCUGUAAAUAGAUUGUCCACUUUUAUGUUAGAUUAUUCAUUUAAAAAAUUUACCUGUAAGAAGUACGUAUGUAUUUUUUUCUGUAUUGCAUGUGUCUUGGUCCAAGGCUUGUCUUUCCUCUUGGUGAUAUUUUGAAACAUGAAUGUGUUUCAAAACACAUGGGAAAAUUUAUUAAUUUUGUUUUGUGCUUUGGUAUCUUAUAUGAGAAAUUCUUGCCUAUGCUGAGAUGAAAAAAAAACAAAAAAACCCCAAACCCCAUAAACGCUAUAUUUUCUUCUUACAGUUUUAAAGCUAUGGUUGAAAAUACCUAGAUCUUUAGUUGUCCUGAAAUUUAUUUUGGCUCAUGUGAGAUUAAGAUUUAACUUUAUUUAAAUUUAGUGUUUUCCCACAUGAGUAACCACCUCUGUCUUUGAUUUUGGGGAUGCCACCAUGGAUUUUUUUUUUUCUUGGAUCUCUACUUUAUUUCAUUGGUCAGAUAAGGCAAGUUACCCCCUACCUCUGCAUUGUUCUUCUUAAACUUCUAUUUUAAAUUAUGUGUUAUUAUAUAUGAAUUAUAUAUGGAUUCUUAAUUUUGAGUUUAAUAGCCACUUGUUAACUUACACAAGCAAUUGUAUUGGUAUUUUAACAGGAACUGUAUUUUUUAAAUUGUAUUUAAUAUGUAGAUUAAUCUGGAGAAACCAACAUUUGUAUAUUAUUUAGUAUUUCCAUCCAUGAACAUUGUAUAUCUCUUCAUUUAUUUCAGGACUUUUGAAUGCUGUUUAAUAAUGUUUGACAAUUUUCAAUUUUCUAUAUAAAGCACAUCUUUUGUUAGAGCUAUUCCUGAGUACUUUAUAUUAUUUGUGCUUAUUGUGAAUGGGAUCAUCUCUUAUGUUUUUCCAAAUGGUUACUGUGAAUACAUACAUAUAUAUAUAUAUAUAUAUAUAUAUAUAUAUAUACACACACAUACAGUAAUGCUUUUGAUUUUUGCAUGCUCAUCUUGAGAAGAAAGCUUUUAUGGCCAAGUUGCAAUAUUUACCAGCACAAAUUUUUAUUAAAUAAAUUUGACAUUCAUUCCAAUUCAGCUAAAGUCAUGGUUGUCUAAUGGUUGUUUAAAGAUGAGUUAAUAAUGACCUGCACAAGAAAAAAACAUUACCUGUCUAGGAGUGCUGACAAAAACAUUGCCGAUCUGUUGCUUUAAGAUCAUUACAUUUUAAUAGAUCCAAUUUGGUGAAGACUUAACAACUCCAUCUAGUGGUAGUUUGAAGUUCUAAGUGAAUUGGCAAAUGCACUUCCAGGUUUUACUGGAUAGCUAUGUGUGUUUGAAAUAUCAUGAUAAUAAUCAAUAACCUUAUUGGAAAUGUCAAGAGAAAGCAAGGAUUAAUUGACACACCAAAAUUAAUUAUACCUGUUAUCUUAAGUGUUGUUGAUUUCAAGAUUAUUUUUAUUUUAUUUUUUAAAAAAGAUUUUAUUUAUUUAUUCAUGACAGAGAGAGAGAGAGAGAGAGAGAGAGAGAGAGAGGCAGAGACCCAGGCAGAGGGAGAAGCAGGCUCCAUGCAGGGAGCCUGGUGUGGGACUUGAUCCUGGGUCUCCAGGAUCACACCCUGGGCCGAAGGCAGGCAGGCGCUAAACCACUGAGCCACCCAGUCUGCCCAAGAUUAGAGUGAGGUAUACUUACAGAGAAUAUUAUGUACAACCUCCCAUGCUAGAGCCAAGUUGUGUAUAUACAGAUUUAAUUUUAUCAUAUUCAAUCCAUACGACCUUUAUAAUAAUAGGAUCCUCACAGUCUCUACCCCAUGAGGACUGACUUAUAGUUAAGGACCCUUUAAAAUUAGACCUAGUUUUAUAUUUUACUAAUUAGAAUUUUUUCUUUGUGUAGGAAAUAAGAGAGUUUUGUGCAUUGGGACAACUUGGUAAUCAUCUGAAGAAAGUAUAUUUAACUCUUAAAAUACACUCAAGAUAUAUUUAAAAUUUAUAGGUACAGAAAAAGUUUUUUAAGACUUAUUUGUUUAGAGAGAGAGAGAGAGAGCACAAGCAGGGUAAGGGGCAGAGGGGAAGGGAGAGAAAGAAUCUUAAGCAGAGUCUGAGUGGAGUGUGAAGCUGGACACGGGGCUCUAUCCCAUGACCCUGAGAUGUGACCUGAGUCAAAACUAAGAGUUGGAUGCUUCACCAUCUGGGAGUGCCACCCAGGCACUCCCACAAGGCUUUAAAAGUAUACUAUGAAAGCUUAUUUAACUUUGAAGUGGGGAGGACCUUUCUAACGAUAGAUGGAACCUCCAAGAGUAGAGGUUGAUUAAAAACUUCUGUAGAACAAUGAAAAAAUUAAAUUAAAACAAUAGUGGUAUAUCUUUGGUAAAAAUUUAAAAUUGAUGAUGUCCUGUGUUAAUAUAGGUUAAGGGUGAAGACAUCAAGUAUAGUCUUUAUUAUACUGCUACCUGAGAAUAUACUUGGAAUAAACUUUCUCAAGGGAAAUUUGACAAUGCUAUCAAAAGCCUUAAAAAAAAU
rnacentral:lncRNA from 1 species